rnacentral:rRNA from 1 species
AUUGAACGCUGGCGGCAUGCUUUACACAUGCAAGUCGAGCGGCAGCGCGGGGCAACCCUGGCGGCGAGCGGCGAACGGGUGAGGAAUACAUCGGAACGUGCCCGAGAGUGGGGGAUAACGCCGCGAAAGCGGCGCUAAUACCGCAUAUUCUCCGAGGAGGAAAGUGGGGGACCGCAAGGCCUCACGCUCACGGAGCGGCCGAUGUCGGAUUAGCUAGUUGGUGGGGUAAAGGCUUACCAAGGCGACGAUCCGUAGCUGGUCUGAGAGGAUGAUCAGCCACACUGGGACUGAGACACGGCCCAGACUCCUACGGGAGGCAGCAGUGGGGAAUUUUGGACAAUGGGGGCAACCCUGAUCCAGCCAUGCCGCGUGCAGGAUGAAGGCCCUCGGGUUGUAAACUGCUUUUGUACGGAACGAAACGGCGCUCUCUAAUACAGGGCGCUAAUGACGGUACCGUAAGAAUAAGCACCGGCUAACUACGUGCCAGCAGCCGCGGU